rnacentral:rRNA from 1 species
GGGUUGUGAGGUUAAGCGACUAAGCGUACACGGUGGAUGCCCUGGCAGUCAGAGGCGAUGAAGGGCGUGCUAAUCUGCGAUAAGCGCCGGUAAGGUGAUAUGAACCGUUAUAACCGGCGAUACCCGAAUGGGGAAACCCAGUGUGAUUCGUCACACUAUCAUUAACUGAAUCCAUAGGUUAAUGAGGCGAACCGGGGGAACUGAAACAUCUAAGUACCCCGAGGAAAAGAAAUCAACCGAGAUUCCCCCAGUAGCGGCGAGCGAACGGGGAGGAGCCCAGAGCCUGAAUCAGCAUGUGUGUUAGUGGAAGCGUCUGGAAAGGCGCGCGAUACAGGGUGACAGCCCCGUACACAAAAGCGCAUGUGCUGUGAGCUCGAUGAGUAGGGCGGGACACGUGGUAUCCUGUCUGAAUAUGGGGGGACCAUCCUCCAAGGCUAAAUACUCCUGACUGACCGAUAGUGAACCAGUACCGUGAGGGAAAGGCGAAAAGAACCCCGGCGAGGGGAGUGAAAAAGAACCUGAAACCGUGUACGUACAAGCAGUGGGAGCACAGGUUUACCUGUGUGACUGCGUACCUUUUGUAUAAUGGGUCAGCGACUUAUAUUCUGUAGCAAGGUUAACCGAAUAGGGGAGCCGGAGGGAAACCGAGUCUUAACCGGGCGUUAAGUUGCAGGGUAUAGACCCGAAACCCGGUGAUCUAGCCAUGGGCAGGUUGAAGGUUGGGUAACACUAACUGGAGGACCGAACCGACUAAUGUUGAAAAAUUAGCGGAUGACCUGUGGCUGGGGGUGAAAGGCCAAUCAAACCGGGAGAUAGCUGGUUCUCCCCGAAAGCUAUUUA